AAGUCGUAACAAGGUUUCCGUAGGUGAACCUGCGGAAGGAUCAUUAAAAAUGAACCUCCACGAGAGGUGUUUUCGUUCCGAUCCGAGAAAGGAACCACGUCGCAACCCUUACCCGUACAGUGGCAGGCUUUGUCGGGGACCAUGUUUUUACUCGAACACGGGAGUCGCACAUGAUGCGUUCGCCCAGUGGCGGCCUGCCCCUUUCAACAAAAACCAUUCUACCUGACUGAACUUUUUUGCGAACACGCAAGGUAAAUCGAAAUACAACUUUCAGCAACGGAUCUCUUGGUUCUC
rnacentral:misc_RNA from 1 species